AUUUCCAUUUUCCAUGUUAUCCUAUUCUGAUUCCUCGUCGUUGAUCAAUCUUUCUGCUUUUCUUUGUUGUGGUUGGCUUUUGGUUUGUCGCCUUCCGAACUGGUCUGUGUUACGCCCAUGUAGUGCAUCUUCUUCUUAUUGAAUUGCUUACCAGUUGCUUCAUGCGAGCCUUUUCCAGUUACGUGCUUUGCGCAGUCCUGUGAUUUUUUUUUGGUGGAUUCUUUGGAAUUUUUUAGCUUUACUAACAAAAGAUUCUAGUGAGGAACGCUACCUAUGCAGGCGUCUGAGUUGGUCGCUAAGUAUGCACGCCCAAUUCUUAGAAGAGCUCCAGCAAGUACCUGCUAACCAAAUUUUCAAAAUUCUUAAAGAUAUGGAGUAACAUUAGUUUUUCUGCUGUCCCUUUCUCCAUUCGUUUCUUUCUUCCCCACUCUUGUUUCUCUCACCUUUCGAUUCUUCACCACUUUACCAAGCGAUCGUUUACUUGCCACCACCACCACCCGUGGGAUAAUAUCACCUACACCAUUGAUAGACGAUCCAUAGUUGAUCAGUGAGCUAUGUGAAAUGCAGGAGAGUGAAGCGUAGGCAGGUCAAAUUGAAUGCGACAGGGUGCAGGGCUGCGUAACUGUGGUAUUUCUACCAGGCCUCAGAACGUGAAGAAGUUCUCCCUCUCUGGUCCUAAUCCGCCAGCUUCAAGCGCAGAUGAGAAAAAAACUCGCCCUUGAAUUCUGAUUACUAGGCGUCCUGUUGGAUGGACAACAAAAUUUUGUCACCCGCAAAAGUUUAACGAGUGAUACACACUUCUGCGUUUGUUUCAUUAUGCAUGUUUGAAUAAGUAACUGUAUCUGAUACAUUAAACGGUGUUUUCUGUGGACUUUUGACACCAGAUUUUAAUAUACUCAGUUCGACCGAGCGAUGAGAAUCCUUGUGGAGAAGCUUUACGGCGAGCUGAGGCUAAGUUGCCUACGGCAGUUAACACAGAAUUGUUUUUUAUCUGAUUUUAGCAGUAACUAGAAAUGUAAAACUGCAAUGUGUGAGGUUCUUGCCA